GCCGGGCUAGCUCAAUCGGUUGAGCGUGUGGCUCUUAUGCGAAGUCCGUGAGAACCAAAGAUAACCACAAGGUUGCGAGUUCGACCCUCGCGUUCGGCU